rnacentral:misc_RNA from 1 species
GGAUAGGCUUUCCAUGCUGUAAAUACUUGUGGAAACUAUGCUUAACAGCAGCACGCGCAAGCUUCUCUGUGUCAACAUUUGCAGCACGUAGAGGUGACAACAACCCAGGUGGAAGAUCUGGAUACUUAGAAAAAUGUUCUUUUGUGAUCAUAAAGUUAAGAACAGAGUCACCCACAUACUCGAGCCGCUCAUAAGAUAUACAGUCCUUGUGAUACGACGUAUGUGUAAAAGCUUGCCGCAAUAAAUUCCGAUCAUUAAAGUCGUACCCUAUGAUUUUCUGUACUUCCUCAACAUUUUGUGAUAUGUCAUCUUGCGAUGUCGUUUUUGUUGCCUCCUCAUUUUCCAGGAUGCCUGGCAGGAACCUAUUUAAAACA